rnacentral:rRNA from 1 species
UACGAAGGGUGCAAGCGUUACUCGGAAUUACUGGGCGUAAAGCGUGCGUAGGUGGUUUGUUAAGUCUGAUGUGAAAGCCCUGGGCUCAACCUGGGAAUUGCAUUGGAUACUGGCAGGCUAGAGUGCGGUAGAGGGUAGUGGAAUUCCCGGUGUAGCAGUGAAAUGCGUAGAGAUCGGGAGGAACAUCUGUGGCGAAGGCGACUACCUGGACCAGCACUGACACUGGAGGCACGAAAGCGUGGUGGAGCAAACAGG